UGCGUAGGCGGUCCCGCAAGUCCGCUGUGAAAGCCCCGGGCUUAACCUGGGAAUGGCAGUGGAAACUAUGGGACUUGAAUCUGGCAGAGGGGGGUGGAAUGCCACGUGUAGCAGUGAAAUGCGUAGAGAUGUGGCGGAACACCGAUGGCGAAGGCAGCCCCCUGGGCUGAGAUUGACGCUCAGGCACGAAAGCGUGGGGAGCAAACAGGAUUAGAUACCCUGGUAGUCCACGCCCUAAACGAUGACAACUAGGUGUUGGGGAAGCGAUUUCUCAGUACCGCAGCUAACGCGUGAAGUUGUCCGCCUGGGGAGUACGGUCGCAAGAUUAAA
rnacentral:rRNA from 1 species